UCUUCGCCGUCUAAAUGGGCUUGUAAAGCUUGCACUUUUUUGAACCUUUACAACAAAUCCAAUUGUGAAAUCUGUAUUCAACUUCAUUCCCCUUCAUUCCCCUAAUAACAUUUGUUUUCAAGAAGUUACUCUGGUGAUUUAUGACCUUUUUCGUGGGUCUAACUGGUGGAAAGGGUACCGGUGCUCUAUCUCGGACGACACGGUGAGUUUGAGAGCUUACUUUUGUAUGCAGGUAUGUUUUGAUUGCCAUAAUUUUGUGAAGCUUUUUAUGCAAAUGUGUAUACUUACUAUAUUGUUUUGCAGUUAAGGAAAUUGCCUGUGAAAUCCUUAACAGUCUGAAACAUAUUGCAUUGAUGGAGGCCAAGAUGAAAAAACUCUCUGAUUUACUGAGUAAGAAUUUAGAAGGGAUUGAGGAAGCAGCAAGCAAUGGCCCCAAAAGACGGAGAAAGCAUUUCUCAAACACCCCAAGGUGUUUUUAAGGUGUUACUGGAUUAUGGAUUGGCAUUCUGUAACUAUUUUCCUUGACAAACUUAGAAAUAAAGCAAUCACAUUCACUAUUUUUCAAGCCACUUGCAUCUUACUCCUCUAUGUUGAAUCAAAUUGAGGAAUUGCUAAGUGCUAGAGACU